CGUACACUCCUGCGGGAGGCAGCAGUGGGGAAUAUUGGACAAUGGGCGCAAGCCUGAUCCAGCCAUGCCGCGUGAGUGAUGAAGGCCCUAGGGUUGUAAAGCUCUUUCACCGGUGAAGAUAAUGACGGUAACCGGAGAAGAAGCCCCGGCUAACUUCGUGCCAGCAGCCGCGGUAAUACGAAGGGGGCUAGCGUUGUUCGGAUUUACUGGGCGUAAAGCGCACGUAGGCGGACUAUUAAGUCAGGGGUGAAAUCCCGGGGCUCAACCCCGGAACUGCCUUUGAUACUGGUAGUCUUGAGUUCGAGAGAGGUGAGUGGAAUUCCGAGUGUAGAGGUGAAAUUCGUAGAUAUUCGGAGGAACACCAGUGGCGAAGGCGGCUCACUGGCUCGAUACUGACGCUGAGGUGCGAAAGCGUGGGGAGCAAACAGGAUUAGAAACCCGAGUAGUCCCA
rnacentral:rRNA from 1 species